CAGCUCCCACCUAUAGAGGUCCGCUACAGGCUACUACUGUCUGACCCAUACCAUAAUAAUAUUUUAUAGCCCAAUCUCCGAAGUGGCACUCGCGGGGCAGUAUCCCAACCGAGUAUAGUAUCACUGCCAAACUCAAUAUAGCAUGCAAACUGUGAUAAAAUGCGAUAAUCAAACAGAUCAUAAUAAUACUGUCAUAGUAUCCAAAAUACAAUUAUAGUCUCGUAUUACCUGUAACUCUCUAUUAACCUUUACAAAAAUAUCAUACAUAUAUAUAUAUAGUAUGUGUUGUGUGCUAUUAGGAACAUGGAGGCCUCCGUACUCCUAAGUCGUUUUCGAUGAUGAAGUUUCUGUAUCGACGAUCGGCUCCGUUAGACUUGAUAUAGCAUAUUUGAACUAUCUAGAAAAUAAAUUUUGUGAUUUUUCGUUAUCAUUUACCUACUGAUCGAAAGGGUUCAAAAUUAAUAAUUUUUAAUGGUUAAUGUAUAGCGUUUGCAAGUUUAACGGUGUAGAACUAUUCAAAUUAGAUGAAAUUUUGAUAAAAAUUUUUUUAUACUAUUUACAUCAAGAUCAAAUCAAUAUAUCUGAUCGAAAAUUUUAAUGUUAUAUCACUACUUUUUGUGAUAUUUUUAUUUUUCGCCGUUGAUUUUGAA
rnacentral:lncRNA from 1 species